rnacentral:snoRNA from 1 species
AGUAACACUGAUGAGAGUGUAUCAUUAAACAAGGGUUAUUAGUAGUCAAAUUUUAUAUAUCUGAGAUCCUGA